rnacentral:snRNA from 1 species
GGAUUCAACAUUAAGAAAGCACAUAUACUCAAAUUUUAAUGAUGCAGUGAAUAUUAGCAUGGCCCCUGUGUGAGGAUGACAUGCAAAUUCUUAGAGUGUUCCAUAUUUUU